rnacentral:rRNA from 1 species
ACGUAGGGGGCAAGAGUUAUCCGGAAUUAUUGGGCGUAAAGAGUGCGUAGGUGACUUUUUAAGCGAGAGGUUAAAGGUAAUAGCUUAACUAUUGUAAGCCUUGCGAACUGGAAAAAUUGAGUGCAGGAGAGGAAAGUGGAAUUCCUAGUGGAGAGGUGAAAUGCGUAGAUAUUAGGAGGAACACCAGUGGUGAAGGCGACUUUCUGGUCUGUAACUGACGCUGAUGCACGAAAGCGUGGGGAGCAAACAG